CCCGUCCUGGGGCCCCGCCCACCCGCGGCGGCAGCUGGGCAGCCUCCCAGAGCAGGACCGGUCCCCCGCGGCCGCUUCCAGACCGUCCGCAUCCUACGCCGGCGUCGGUCUCCGGGCUUGCGCGGGCCGAACACAUCCUUGGGACAGCUUUGCCUAGCCCCAGCCAGGAAGAACAUCUGUAAUGAGAGGAUCCUGAAUUUGCUCAAGCAAGUCAGACUCUUUAUAAACCAUACCUAGACGUCAGAACUGGGAUGGAAGAUCUGGCACCUGUGGAAGGCCAGAGCCAGCUACCAAGCCCACACCAUGGCUCCCUGAGAAGGGCUGUGGCUGCUGCCCUGGCUCUAGAUGGGGAAUCCACAAUGGGUCGCAGGAAAAAGAAGAAGAAAGAUCCUCGCCCUGAAUCAAUCAUCAUCUACCGGUCAGAGAAUGAGAAAAUGGAUGACGAGCCUGAGGAGUUGGAGGGUGGAGAUCAACCUAAAGAGGAGGAGGGAGACGAUUUCCUAGACUAUCCCAUGGAUGACAGUAUGUGGGACAUGCCUUCAGACAGUCGCUAUGUCACAUUAACUGGGACCAUCACCCGAGGCAAGAAAAAAGGUCAUGUGGUGGACAUCCAUGUCACACUGACAGAGAAGGAACUGCAAGAACUCACCAAGCCUCAGGAGUCAACCAGGGAAACAGAAUCUGAAGGAAGAAAUGCCUGCCAGAUGGGAGCAGACCGUGGGCCUCACGUGGUUCUUUGGACACUGGUCUGCCUGCCUGUGGUUUUCAUCCUCUCUUUUGUGGUCUCUUUCUACUAUGGCACUAUCACCUGGUACAACAUCUUCCUUGUAUACAACGAGGAGAGGACCUUCUGGCACAAGAUCUCAUGUUGUCCCUGCCUCAUUCUCUUCUACCCUGUGCUUAUCAUGGCCAUGGCUUCUUCCCUGGGCAUCUAUGCUGCUGUGGUCCAACUCUCAUGGUCAUGGGGAGCAUGGUGGCAAGCUGCCCGGGAUAUGGAGAAGGGAUUCUGUGGCUGGCUCUGCAGCAAGUUGGGACUAGAGGACUGUUCUCCCUACAGUAUUGUAGAGUUGCUUGAAUCUGACAAUAUCUCAGGCACCCUUUCCAACAAGGACUCCACGCAGGAAGUAGAAACCUCCAUGGUUUAAACUCCUGAUAAUUUCCUUUCUUCUCUGGUAGAUAGAUCUGGUAGCCUAUAUAAUAUCUUAGAAUUCCAGCAGAUUCUUUAUUUCUUUUUUUUUUUUUUGGAAGAUUUAUUUUAUUUAUUUGAAAGACAGAGUUACGAGAAAGGUAGAGACAGACAGAGAGGUCUUCAGUCUGCUAGUUCACUCCCCAGAUGGCUGUAAUGGUUGGAGCUGUGCCGAUCUGAAGCCAGGAGCCAGGAGCUUCUUCUGGGUCUCCCUUGUGGGUGCAGGGGCCCAAGGACUUGGGCCAUCCUCUACUGCUAUCCCAGGCCAUAGCAGAGAGCAGGAUCAGAAAAGGAGCAGCCGGGACUAGAACCAGUGCCCAUAUGGGAUGCAGGCGCUUCAGGCCAGGUCUUUAACCUGCUGCACCACAGCGCCGGCCCCCAGAUUCUUUCUUUAAAUUAUCCCCUGUCUCCCACAGUUCUUUGGGAACAUCCUAGUCCACAUUGAUCUGUCUACCAUCUUGAUAGAGGGCAGAGAAUCGGGCAAUUUGUGCCAAAGUUUUCCACCCAGUGGACAAAGCCUACUUGACUCCUCCUCUAAAAUGAUCAUUUUUAUGGGACAAGGAACUCCACUGUGUAUCAGUUUAGGCGCUUGAAGGUACAACUGGUGUCUGAAAUCCAUGAGAGUUUGUUACUAAAUGUGACAGGGAGGAUAAGGAGUCUCAAGGAUGAGCAAAGCCACUAGAAAACAGGGACAGAGUGAAACAUUUAGAAAGCCAGGCUACCGCAGUAGCUUGUAGUAACAAUAAAGGUUUGUGCACAUCACUUUGAGUUAGAUUUAGCUCCAUAUAAUUAAAACCCUAAAAUAUCAAUGGUUUAAACAAGAUAGAAGCUUCUUGUAUAGAAGUCUAGAGGCAGACCAUCCCUGUGAAGUCAUCUAGGUCCUUGGUUUCUUCCAUUCCAUUUUCAAUAGUAGGAUGUGGGAGCCUCAUUACUCCUCAAUGUCCUGGUGCUGACUACAAAACUUCAACCAUCUUAUCCACACUUUGGCAAAACAGAGGUGGGGCAAAAAAGUGCACAUCUUCAUUUUUAAGGAAACUUCCUAGAAGUUCCACUGAACACUCCUUACAUCUCUUUGGCUAGACCUCAGUCACAUGACAUCAUAGGCAAAAGAGGCUGGGAAAUGCCAACUUUAGGCUGUGUAGCUACACUCUCAGCUAAGUAUUGAGGUGAUGCUAUUAAAAAAAAGGGAAGAGUGGCUAUUUUGAUAGUUAAGUAAGAAUUUCUGACAUAAUAAUUACUCAAAAACAUUCAGAAUCUCAAACUGCUGAUAUAAUUUAUUUAAUUUAUUUUUAUAUUUAUUUGUUGCUCUUUAGUUCACUCAUUCAUUUAUUUUGGCCUGAAUAGUAUGUAAGGAAUUUAUAUGUAAGUAUCUGCUGCCUAUACUAGAUAUGUAUGUGCUAUACACACAUAUUAGCACCUCAUGUGCUUUGCAAUUAAACUGCCAUAAUGUCAUCAUGCUCAAGUUUUGUAAGAAAUAGUGGACAAGAGAGUACAAUUGCAUAAUAGCAGAAUAACCCUUUUUACUGGUGGUAGAGGUGGAACAGAUAUGGUGACUUUUUAAUCUAAUCUAUAAAGACUGAAAGGAAAGGAUUGCAUUUGUUAAGUGUUCCCUAAGGGUGACAGGUAGCUCUAAGCAUGAAGAAGCCAGUGUUAGACCUCUGUUAUUUGGCAAGACCUCACUCAGAGCCUUAAUCACUCAGACCUUUCCAGAGUUUGGAAACAAAGAGGGUCUUUUCUGUGCUUAGAAGAUUAAUCCAGAUGACUAGAUUCUGAGUUAAAAGAAAAUCAUUCUUGACGUUAUCUUUCUAGAUUCAAAAUGUUGAAUCCCAAGAAGUCAUCAGAUUUUGGAGAUUUGGGUCCUCAUCCAAAAAAAGCUGGUGCUCAUUUCUUGUUCUUAUUUCAGAAAGAAGUACUUGGAAGAACUGCUGUGAACCAACCCAGAGGGGUUGAUCAUGCUCCCCACAGAGAGUCAUGGGCAUUUUCCUAAUGGAUGGUGCUGAACCCCACCUUCAGAAUAACUCUCUUUAAAAAUAGCUAUUAUUAGUUUGACAAGAGAAGAGGUGCUCCAAAAUUGCUCUGAAUGUCAUCAUUUGCAGAAAUAAAGGUGAGCAUAAUAGGUGUCUUCUAUAUCUUUAUGUAAUGAACUUAGUAUGUAUCCAUAAAUAUUGACUUCUUCCAUGCACUAAUAAUUUAUGGGUUGUCUAUUUAGGCGGAUAUUUCUUCCAAUCUCCUUUUUAUUUAAACCCACAUUACAAAAUUGUUACCAACGGUGUCACAAUUUUCUGGGGUUGAGGAGACCGAUGGUCAAGGCCCAAAAUAAUGUGAUUAGGACAAGAGCAAGGUGCCCAUAGUGGAAUGGAGGAGCAGAAGUGAGUGUGAGAUUAUGGCCAAGGGAUACAAAGACAACAAACACUGUCAUGGCCUUAACCCUGGUUGGGCUCAUCACCUAGUGGAGGAAAUAGGCUUGCAAAUAAAAAUCAUUUAAAAGGUGCCCUAAAGAGGUAAAUGCCCAUGCCGGAGGCAGGACAACCGAUCCACAAAAGAACUAAAGCCAUCUCAUCCUUGCUGUCAGUAAUGCCUAGACAAUUUUGGAGAAGAAAUUGGAGUUAGAUACCUUAUUUACCACAUUUGCUCAAUUCUGUUAACUCCUAUUUACCCAGUCUCCAUGGUGACUGUCAAGGAAGAGGACUGUAUUUCCCAAUUACUUAGCAACUGUAGUAUUCUGAUGGGGAUAAACCAUGUCUGACCUGAUAUGGUUACACUGUUAUUUCCAAGUCAUCUGUCAGUUCACAUUAGGCAGCAUGUCCUGUUCAUGUCCAUGAUUAGCAAGACCCACGGUUUUCUUUUCUUUUCUUUUCUUUUCUUUUUUAAGAUUUAAUUAUUUGAAAGACAGAGUUACAGAGAGAGAUAGAAACAGAGAGAGGUCUUCCAUCCACUGGUUCACUCCCCAGAUGGCUGCAACGGCCCGAGCUGUGCCAAUCCGCAGCCAGGAUCCAGGAGCUUCUUCCAUGUCUCCCACAUGGGUGCAGGGGCCCCAAGGACUUGGGCCAUCUUCCACUGCUUUCCCAGGCCAUAGCAGAGAGCUGGAUCGAAAGAGGAACAGCCAGGACUAGAACCAGCAUCCAUACGAGACCCAUGAUUUUCUACAAAACAAGACUAAAUGUUCAAAGAACUACUUUCAGAUGAUUUGAAAGUUUCAUUGUGUCAGUUUGGAAUGGCUAUGCAGGGCUUACUUUUUGCAGUGUUGAAAAAAGACUCGUGGCCAACAUGAAAAGGUUUCUUUUCUUCAACUCAACAUAAGCCUUUUAUGUGGAUUUUAAAAAAUAGUUUUUGAUGGAAAUAGAACAUUGUACAUCACCAUGUACAACUAUUUGGGAUAUAAGCUUUUAUUAUUUCAUAUCUGUAUCCUAUGGGUAUAAGUGUUCAUUUCAUAUCUGUACACUACAUUUUAACUAAUUUUCCCAACUUGUUAUCUAACUAUUGCUGCAGUUCUCAGUCUGAACACAAAGCCUGCACAUUUUUAUUUUGUAUAAUAAAGUCAUCAUUCACAUA